rnacentral:rRNA from 1 species
CUCAAAGGAAUUGACGGGGACCCGCACAAGCGGUGGAUGAUGUGGUUUAAUUCGAUGCAACGCGAAAAACCUUACCCACCUUUGACAUGUACGGAACUUGCCAGAGAUGGCUUGGUGCUCGAAAGAGAGCCGUAACACAGGUGCUGCAUGGCUGUCGUCAGCUCGUGUCGUGAGAUGUUGGGUUAAGUCCCGCAACGAGCGCAACCCUUGUCAUUAGUUGCUACAUUUAGUUGGGCACUCUAAUGAGACUGCCGGUGACAAACCGGAGGAAGGUGGGGAUGACGUCAAGUCCUCAUGGCCCUUAUAGGUGGGGCUACACACGUCAUACAAUGGCUGGUACAAAGGGUUGCCAACCCGCGAGGGGGAGCUAAUCCCACAAAGCCAGUCGUAGUCCGGAUCGCAGUCUGCAACUCGACUGCGUGAAGUCGGAAUCGCUAGUAAUCGUGGAUCAGAAUGUCACGGUGAAUACGUUCCCGGGUCUUGUACACACCGCCCGUCAC